AUGUACAGAGCCAGCUUAUCUUCUACAAAGACGACUUCCCAAGGCUAUACCUUCUUAUCGUCGACUAUUCUGUCAUCAGCAGUAUCCGGUUUUACUAGCCAAUCUGCUACUAAGCUCGAGAAAAUCAUCCGGUCCUACACAAAGGGCACACUACUCUCUGGCAUUGAUAACCUUCCAAAACUGAAGGAGCUCGAGUUCAAUGGUGAUUUUGUCCCUGAUGUGGUGAAAGAAGCAAUGAAAAAAAAUAAGAACAAACCCAAGCUUAGACACAACAAACCAGAAAAACAAUACAAAGAAGCGGGAAACAUAGCAGAAAAGAAAGAUGCUCCAAGUUUCCCAUCAUUCUGGGAGAAAGAGGAUUGA
rnacentral:rRNA from 1 species